ensembl:lncRNA
CUGGUGAACACCAUCGAAAAGCUCACCCCAGUCUUGGCUCCUGAUGUGAAGAAAAAAAAAUGUCAGACUGUCUGUCCCACGGGAAGCGUGGACACCACGAUCUGACUUUUCAACUGAACCAAAGGCCUGUGAAGUGGAAGAGGAAAGUCAGGAUGACAGAUAUUUGCUUCAUAGUGAUUUCCGCGCUCAAGAAGGAAAUUCUUCUUUCAGUUAUUUCACUCCUCACCGUCACAGAGCUGGUCCUUCCUACCUUCAAAGCCCUCCAAGUAAAAGAUUUAUUCCAACAUUUCCUGAAAACUUUCUUACUACCUUGAACAACUUACUGAGUUCAUAGUUAAUAGUUAGACGUUUAAAAAUGUGUACUAAAGUUAAAAAUUAAGGUAGGUAUGUCACAGUGAUACUCCUGAUUGACAACCUCUAAUUAAAAGAAAGCACAUCUUACAUUUUCAUCUAAAGAUUCAAAUGGCUUCAAAUAGCUUUUGUAUUUGUUUUUUAACAUAGUAGUGGAAAGCCACGUGGCAAAGGAACUUUUGACUUCAAGUCAACUGGUGACUUGACUAAUCACCAGAUACAUUAUUUUGAACAGCGCAUCAUAAUGUUAUAAUCGACUACUUCAUCUGUUUUAAUGUUUGUGUUUCUUCCACAGACAUGAAAGAUAAUUCGCCUGAUGCAUCUGGAAUAUCUCAUGUUUGGGAAGAUGACAAUCUGGGUCAGACUGGGCUAUCGGAUACUGCAGAAAUCUUAGACGAGUUGAUAAAGGAAGGGUAUUUAUCCCCGACUGACCUGGAUUUGUCCAGUUCACUGACUGCACACCAUAGCAGCCGGCUGCAUCAUCAGCAGAGUAGCUGGGUGUCGCAUGAGAGUGUCCAUCCAGAGGAUAAGAGGGGAGAGCUGAGGAUCUGGAUGAGAAGGAAACAUAGGGAAAGACUGGCUGUUUAUCAAAAAAACAGAGAAAGCCUGAAGGAGAGGGAGCAUAAACCUUUUCCUGGAAAAAUGAAAUCUACUAACAGAAACCGAGCAAGUGCUUGGAGAACUAGAGAGGAAAAAGAAAAGUUCAUGCUUCUGGAGAAUUACAACGAGAGGACCCGUGAAGCUUGUACUCUGGCCAGUGACUUCACCACCACUCCUCCAGUUUUACACAGUUCUUCACAGCCCGCAGGUCCUGCACUUCCUGCCACCACACGGUCCACCUCUGCGCCACCCCCUGGCAGCACUCACAGGGCGUACAGUGCAUCUGCCAAGGACAAAAUUCUUAAGUCCCAGUCAAGACAAACUCAGCCCCUCCUUCGUCCAUGGACUGCUGAGGGGCAGGGACGGCCUCUGCAGGGUCAUGGCAGGAGACUGGGACUGCACAGACCAGUUACCUCUCUGCCAAGGGAUCGUCUGUCUCAGGUGACCAGACGUGGCAUGCUCACUUACACAAAGAGCAACAAUAAACUACACCCGACCAGCCAGAGUGAGGAUCGCCGCGUCGGAUACCAGAGAAGGAUGCCGUUGAACAAAAGACCCUUAGGAGUGACCUCGGUAGGGAGAGGAAUCCAGAGGGAGCAGACAAAACGGGAAGACGGAGAAGAGGAGACCCUUUGGGAGCCCACCUCAGAACUGAAUAGGCUGCUUGGUCAAGAGGACGCUGACAUAGUAAGAAUGCCAUAUUUCCUCAUGAAUUAGACUAUAUGUGAGAGGAAUAUCGCCGAAUAUCUUUCUGCGUAGUAACUGUCGCUGUACAUUUGUCAGGUUUUGGCCGGGCUGUUGGAUGAGCAGGAUGGUGGAGGCGGAGCUGGUGUGUCAGGGCUGGACUGGCUGGACGACCUGUCUGUGAGCGGCGGGAGCAGCCUCAGCAAAAUCGACUGGGCGGCUAUCGAGAGGAUAGUGGCUGCGGAAGAAGACUGAGCUUGAGUGUCUCACUCUUGAAGACGAUUCAUCUCUCAUACAAGAGGUUUCCUCAGUUCUAACUAAAAGUUGUGGUGAACCCCAGGUAUUUAACCUCUGUGGAAUAUGGGCAGUGUUAAUGCUCCAGACUGUUAUAACGAGGCUAGUUAGAAUAAGCAUUUAAGCAUUUAGAGAAUCCUAACAGCUUUUAUCAUGGCUGCUGAUCAAAUACUUCCGGGUCACUUCAAGAUUUAAGAAACUUCCUAAGCCAAUUUGACAAUUCGACCGUAUCCUCAGCCUUGGAAGUGGGAGAAAGGAUGGUGUCUCAGGCCUCCUCCUAGGUUGAGGGACGAUUUCUCUAUUUUAACAUCGAUGGCUUCCUUCACUCCUCUUUCAAACCAUCCAUCUUACCUGUCCAGAAUAUAUACAUCUGUGUUUGUAAAGGAGCGUCCCUUGUCCUUUAGAUGUAGAUAAAACAGCUGAAUCCCGCCCUGAGGAGCUGGCUCUCCUGUGUUGAGCCAUGCGUUUGUUUAGUGGUUGUUUAGUUUCUCCAACAUACAAGUUGGCACAUUCCUCGCUGCAUUGUCCUGCAUAUACUACAAUUACAACCAAGUCCAAUUGCUCCUGAUUCAACAGCCCCUUCGACAUGCUCACGAUAAAGUAGAUAGUACAGUAUAUUACUGGGAGAGUAAAAAAAAACAAAGAUUUUAUGUGCCUAUUAGAUAUGCUAUGAAUCAGAAUCAUUAUAAACUGUGAAAAUAAGGAUUAUAAUUCAGAUAUUUUAUACAUUAGAUAUGAUCAGUUGUGAUAUAAAAUAUGUCAAGACAGCUAUGUUUUUCUUUUUAUAGAGUAUGCCUGCUAUUAUACGUGAUUUAAUCACUUAAAUAUAUAAAACAAAUAAUUUGCAAUAGAAUAUUGUGCCAUUUGAGUUUGUGUGCAAAAUUUUCUAGAUAUAUAAAUUAUUUUUGUACAGACCCCACUUCUAAAUAACUGAAAUAAAACAUUUUAAAGUGGUUUCA